UGCAGUGUUCAUCAUCUAAUGUAGAUUUAACUGUGGGUCUGUUUCUCUUACAGCUACAGGGAGGUGACACAUUAAAGGCAAAAGCUGGAUUAAUGAGGGAAGAAGAAAAACAAAUGAGGAUGGAAAUCAUGUGAAUCAUAUCUGACCGUAACAGUCAGCAGAUCUCAACCCGGUCAAACACUUAUUUUGGAGCCACAAGUUGAACGGCUCCACCAUCCAAACACCAAAUGAGGGCAUAUAUGUAACAGGAAUGGUGUUCAUAGAGUUCAGAGAAUCAGUGCAGACUCGUGUUGGUUUGUACUUUAAUCUGCAGUAUCAGUAUCAGUUAUAUGUUCCUGAUGUGUUUGUAUAAUCGCAGGAAUCACAAUGUUAAAUGUGGAAAGAAGUUAUUUCCUCUUUGAAGGCGUGCACAGACUCACAUUGAGCUAAUGACACUUCAUUAAGCAGUGAACUGUGGCACUCAUACAGCGUGAUGGACGGUUGGAGAGGAACCUCACAAUAACAAUCACUAUCUCCGUGCCGUGUGUGUCACUCGCUGUGUACGGCCGCCUGCAGCUCACAGCGAGAAUGAAGGCGUGAAAGUCUCAGGCCGGGUAUUUAAGAGACGCAGCUGUAAAAUCUAACAUGUCCUAUCUAGUUCAGUAAGGGGCUUUACUUAGACCGGGCGAGGCCUCUUAAACACGUGAUUGGCAGCCGAGGCUCUGAGGGCGAUAAGGAAGUAUCUGUGAGGGUGAGAGGGUGGGAGGAUGAAUGCAGGGAGGGAGAGCGCCUGUUGACACUGCGUGCUUUUGGCCCACUUACACUUCUUCUGGCCAAUGGCGUGAAAGACAGAGGCAGCCACACAUGAGAGCUCGGCCCGCGAUGAAUGAAGCCUCACGUAAACACUUUUCAGCAUGGAAGAGAAUCCCUGAGGUCGGCGUGUGCACUCGUCCCUCCGUCCGUCCGUGAGUGCGUGUUCUGUGAGUCAGUGUGGAUGUCCGUGCACCCGUGCUGCACCGGGGUAAUUACAUAUAAUCAUCCAAAAUGUUUAUACUGUACAAAUAGCAUAACUAUGCUGACUGAGUGGCUGUGUGGGACGGGUAUAGCCGGCUUUGUGAAUGGGCCCCGGCCGCUCCGUGAUUACCCCGGGGCUCAGGGCCAGGCUCAGAUUGUCCCGCAGUGAGACAGAGGCCCUGCUAACACUGUGUGAGCUAUACCACAUAUCAUACAGACAUACUGGGUAAUGGGGGCCACUAUAUGCUUAUAGGAGGCCAGGGGAAGGAAGUGUUCUCCACUUCCAAUUAAUUGUUUCGCACCUGCCAAAUAAUAAUCAUGUUAAAUGUCAUUUUUUAACAAUGAAUUCACAGACCGUGCAAGUAUGUUGGUGUCACUGUAUGACUGUCAUUCGGCUUUGUUUCCUUGCUAAAUGGUGCCUGAUGUAUGAUUUUAUGUUUUUGUGUUAUUUCUGUUUAAUCAGAGAACAUUAUGCUGUUCUCUGAAAAAUGGUGGUUGGAAAGGUUCGGACUUCUAAUUCUUCUGUUGGAGCAAUGUUCUUUUAGCCACAGCAAUGUUAAGUUCACUAUGGUCCAGACUACAAAGUUAUAUAUUCAAAAAUGAUAUACUCUCACUUUUAAUGCUAACACAUCAGUAGUCCUAAAAUCAAUAACAACAACGUUAACCACUAUAAGCUACAUACCAGACCAACUAUUAACAGAACGUGAUUGCACCGGUCUAACAUCUUUGUAUCAAUAAAAACAGAUUUAUUUAUAUAAUUAUCAGAAGAGGUCCUUUGGCUUUAUUAUUCAGAAAUAUGAUCAAUAGUUUUAUAUUUGAUUGAUUCCUCCUCUCUCGCUGUUUCUCGAGCUGCUUCAGAAGAACCAAAGAAACAAUCUGGACCAUAUUAAAAUGCAUCAUUUGUUUUUGCAAAGCAUCUAAGGAUGCUGAUUAUCAGGGCAGAUUAAUGAUCAGCCAGUUAUGGGAAAUUAAAUAUAUGGAAUAAUUAAAUUACAGACAGUAAAUUAUCCAUCUAAACUGUAAAACAACUUUUAUUUUCGGUGAAAGUUUGUUUGUGAAGCUUUUUGAUGGACUAAACAACAACAACAAACAACAGUGACGUCAGUUAUAUCAGAACUAUUGAAUAUUAAAUCAUCCAUCUCUUCCUUCCUUACCAUUAUUAACAUCUGUUCAUUAGAAGCAGGUAAUUGUGUUGAAUGAAACAAUAGUAGCAUCGGUUGUUGCUCCAUAUGUCUCUUUAAUGUACAUUCAUACAAAGUGGAGGCCCUCUGAACCUUUUGAUUAUAAU
rnacentral:lncRNA from 15 species